AGAAAUCGUCUUCCCACGUCCGGUGAAGCCGAGUGGCCAGGUGCCCUUGAUCUGAAGUAAUUAAACACCCCUCAUUCCGGCAGCAGAAACCCCUCCUUGAAAAACAAUGCCAAGCUCUUAGCAAAGAAGUGCUUGGCGAGGAGGAGAUAAAAGAAAGGACCUCUGAGAGAAAGCAAUCCCAUCUCUGAAUGGGGCCGUGUGGAGAAACCCGAAGAGAAACAGCAUAAGAGCCUUUUGGAAUAUAUCCCGGAAAAGAUAAUUUUCUACACAUCUGCAGCGUUUCUCCGGGUAAAGGAAACCAAGUCUGGAAGUGCUGUUUGGAGCCAGAGUUAACAUUCCUAACGUGUGAGAGGAGCCUGUGUGCACCCUGACCCGGUCCAUCAGAACUGCACUUGCGGACUUGAGUCGAAGAAGCAUCUGCUUCAUGUCUGGUCUAAGCUUUCCAGCAACACAGAAAUCCAUGGUUAGAAAGCCGGGCACUCCGAUCUACUGCAAAAGGUAAAAUACGGAAACCAGAAAUCUUCUGCAGGAAGGUGGGUGCCUUGUGUCCUAGAACACCAGAACUGUGGGACGAAACCUUGUAAGUGUGUGUGGAUACAGGCCGUGUGUGUAUAAUAUACAUCCUGGUAGUAGCUGUGUAUGGUGUCUGUAGCGAGAGCCCCUCUCUAUCAGGCUGAGUGUGGUCACACUGAAUGUCAGAGUUUUCUCUCCAGGGCCAAAUGGCCUGAAGACAGAUUCUAUGAAAUCUCUGGGACUGCAUAGAGGUGGUGCAGGCCUGUGGAUUCUGUCCAAAAGCCAGGAAGUCACGUGCAAAUUGCGUCCACGAGAAGCAGGUUAAAACGCUGGCAGAAAGCAUUAGUAGUAUUUGAGGACGGCCUCAUUCAAGAGCAUCCUAAAUAAGGCUGCCUGGGGAAUCUGUCUUCUGUGACUUCUUGAGUCUGGCACCUGCCAAACCUCUUUCGACUUUUCCUUCUGGUGGUUCAAAGGGAAAAUGACAAUAAUGAUCAUUGAGAGCCCCCAAUUUCUGAUCAUCCUAGUACCUUGAAGGCCUAAUGUAUAUAGUGUCAUCAUCAGAACAAAAAUUAAUUCAACUUACUUUAAAAAUAUAAACAUCUUUCUCCCAUUUUAUACUAGUGAAAUGUUCUUUCUGUUUAUAAUAGGCCACCACAAUUAUAGGUAAUUGUUUGUUGUUCACAUCAGUGUUUAUUAUCAUGCUUCUGUAGAGUUGUUCUGCCUUAUAAGCUUUCUUUCCAUUAUUUCUUUUUAUUUUAAUAGAAUGAAUUGCAGGCUUUCUCACUAAAGCAAAGAUAUUUCGUCACUCUGACGGAGAAGGGCCAAACCGAGUUAGCAGACAAGUUUCCUGGAGAAAAAGAGAGAUGGAUGCAGAGGCUGAAGAUAAAACGCUACGCACCCGCACUAAAGGAGCCAAGGGUGAGUUAGCAAGCAGGUUCCCCAGCUCUGCGCCCACCACACCAUGGCAUGCGGGCGUGCGUGCCAGUGCUCAGGCCCUAAUGUGCAGUCACCAUGAUUGCAGCUUCCUUGGGGCUCCCAUUUUCAGAUCAAGCCAGGACAUUGGAUCAUGGCACUAGAGGCAAAAAAAUACUAUGAAUCAGGAGUUAAAGGACUCAGAAAAGUCCAAGUGAUAUGUGAUGCCUUUUUUUUUACAAAAAGCAACCACGAGUGGCUUUGAACAUCGUGCAAAGGAGAGCAGGGAAGGAGGCUUCAUGGAGACCUCAGACUAUUGGCGUGGCCUCUAACGGCCAAGGGAAAAGACCGAAUUGCCCGUUUACAGCCAAAGCAGGUUUUGAUGUUUAUGUUAUCCGGUUUAGUGGCUCCCAAUCUAAACUUAGUUCAAGUCAAAUGACGAUGUUUGUUUUCGGUCUGUCCCUGCUGAGAAUUUCCGGCAGCUCUGCAAAGUAGUAUUUGAAAGGUUUAACUUGCCGGUGAUCCCUCUCUUUUUGUAACCAACAGAUGGUAAUGUAAUAUUGAAAUAUAAACAGGCCCUUGAUGAUCUCAACAUCUGGAAAACAGGAUUGACUGGCAAUAAUACCCCUUAAGGAAAAUAACUUUUAUUAUAAUUAGCUGUGUUUUUGUGACCCUUCAUUCUGAACGCAAGGCGCAGCCUCUGGAAGUGAGCUGAGCUGGGGAGCUGUUCCCACCCACCUGCCUCCUGUGGGCCUGGCUGAGGAAGGGUGGGGCCCAGCAGCAUCUAUGCAGUCAUUAGGAAGCGUUUUGAGAUUUGCAGUUCGUGUGUCUAAUCCAGUCCAGUGCUUUCGUAAAUUGUGUUUGUGUGUGUAGUCAAGGCAAAUAAUUCCUGUUUCAGUAAACUCCAGAAUCCCCAGGUUUUUUAAAAAUUCCAGGAUGAUUUUUUUUUUCCCAGUUAAAAUAUGACCCUGGUUGGAGCUCCCCAGUGGCUCAGCCAGUUAAGGAUCUAGCAUUGUCACUGCUGUGGUUUGGCUUUGAUCCCUAGCCUGGGGAACGUCUGCAUGCCACCGGGCACAGCAAUACAUACAUACAUACAUACAUACAUAACACACCCAUGGUUAUCAUUAGCCAUGAUAACUUAAACGCCGAAUCUUGAUAUACCAGGAGUGGGACUUUUCCCUACCCAAUCUAAAGCUUUACAGUGUACUGUUUUCUGGGCUUAGUGUAAGUUACUUUAAAAGCAAUUACAAAAAAAAAAAAAAAAAAAAAAAAANAAA
rnacentral:lncRNA from 1 species